GACAGAGGCCCCGAGCGUUAGGCGGAAUCACUGGGCUUAAAGCGUGUGUAGGCGGGAGCGUAAGUACCUUGUGAAAUCCCACGGCUCAACCGUGGAACGGCUGGGUAUACUGCGCUUCUUGGGCCAACUAGGGGCAGCCGGAACAAGCGGUGGAGCGGUGAAAUGCGUAGAUAUCGUAAGGAAGACCAGUGGCGAAGGCGGGUCUCUGGACAGUUCCUGACGCUGAGGCACGAAGGUCAGGGGAGCAAACGGG
rnacentral:rRNA from 1 species